UUUUGAUCAAAAUUAAGUUGCCAAAAAUAACAUUCAACUUCAUCUUUAUAGAUGAAAGACUUUGAAUUUAGGGUGGGAUUCAAAAGUGUGUCUGCACACCUCAUUCCUCUUGGUCGUGAGACAAGAACUCAGAACUUGCUGAAAUGCAGAAGUGAAAGAGCAGUAUCACUCCAUCCUGCUGAACUACGGGAGUGAAGAAGCCACAGUAGGACUUUACUAGAAGUGAGGAUUGGAGAACAGAAUCUUUCCAAAAGUUUUGAAGAAGCUUCCAUGUUGUGAGAGAGCAUAUGGAGGGGGCCACGUGGC